rnacentral:rRNA from 1 species
AACAAGGUUUCCGUAGGUGAACCUGCGGAAGGAUCAUUACCGAGUUGAUUCGAGCUCCGGCUCGACUCUCCCACCCUUUGUGUACCUACCUCUGUUGCUUUGGCGGGGUCCGCGGGCAGGCUUCGGCCGGCCAGCGCCCGCCAGAGGACCGCAAAACUCCAGUCAGUGAACGUCUCAGUCUGAAAAACAAGUUAAUAAACUAAAACUUUCAACAACGGAUCUCUUGGUUCUGGCAUCGAUGAAGAACGCAGCGAAAUGCGAUAAGUAAUGUGAAUUGCAGAAUUCAGUGAAUCAUCGAAUCUUUGAACGCACAUUGCGCCCCUUGGUAUUCCGGGGGGCAUGCCUGUUCGAGCGUCAUUUCAACCCUCAAGCUCUGCUUGGUAUUGGGCUCCGUCCUCCACCGGACGCGCCUCAAAGACCUCGGCGGUGGCGUCUUGCCUCAAGCGUAGUAGAAAACACCUCGCUUUGGAGUGCAGGGCGUCGCCCGCCGGACGAACCUUUGAAUACAUUUCUCAAGGUUGACCUCGGAUCAGGUAGGGAUACCCGCUGAACUUAAGCAUAUCAAUAAGCGGAGGA